AUGGGAAAUUUACUUAAGUAUGUGGGAGUAUUUACUUUGAUGUUUGCAUUGAUGAUAGGAGCAUUUGAAUGCAAAAAGAUACAAGAAAAUGAAUCGGUUUUCGAUUUUGGUGGCCGCAAAUUUGGAAAUGCGUGUGGAGCAAUUGGACCAUUUGGUGGUUGUCAUCACCCGUUCGUACCACCAAAAUUCUCACCACCAAAAUUCUUAAGAUUAUUUAGCCAUACUUGA
rnacentral:lncRNA from 1 species